UGGGGAAUAUUGCACAAUGGGCGCAAGCCUGAUGCAGCCAUGCCGCGUGUGUGAAGAAGGCCUUCGGGUUGUAAAGCACUUUCAGCGAGGAGGAAGGUGGUGAACUUAAUACGUUCAUCAAUUGACGUUACUCGCAGAAGAAGCACCGGCUAACUCCGUGCCAGCAGCCGCGGUAAUACGGAGGGUGCAAGCGUUAAUCGGAAUUACUGGGCGUAAAGCGCACGCAGGCGGUUUGUUAAGUCAGAUGUGAAAUCCCCGGGCUCAACCUGGGAACUGCAUUUGAAACUGGCAAGCUAGAGUCUCGUAGAGGGGGGUAGAAAUUCCAGGUGUAGCGGUGAAAUGCGUAGAGAUCUGGAGGAAUACCGGUGGCGAAGGCGGCCCCCCUGGACGAAGACUGACGCUCAGGUGCGAAAGCGUGGGGAGCAAAACAGGAUUAGAUACCCUGGUAGUCCACGCUGUAAAACGAUGUCGAUUUGGAGGUUGUGCCCUUGAGGCGUGGCUUCCGGAGCUAACGCGUUAAAUCGACCGCCUGGGGAGUACGGCCGCAAGGUUAAAACUCAAAGGAAUUGAC
rnacentral:rRNA from 1 species